AUUGAACGCUGGCGGCAUGCUUUACACAUGCAAGUCGAACGGCAGCGCGGGCUUCGGCCUGGCGGCGAGUGGUGAACGGGUGAGUAAUGCAUCGGAACGCGCCCAGUAGUGGGGGAUAGCCCGGCGAAAGCCGGAUUAAUACCGCAUACGACCUGAGGGUGAAAGCGGGGGACCGAAAGGCCUCGCGCUAUUGGAGCGGCCGAUGUCGGAUUAGCUAGUUGGUGGGGUAAAGGCUUACCAAGGCGACGAUCCGUAGCUGGUCUGAGAGGACGACCAGCCACACUGGGACUGAGACACGGCCCAGACUCCUACGGGAGGCAGCAGUGGGGAAUUUUGGACAAUGGGGGCAACCCUGAUCCAGCCAUGCCGCGUGCGGGAAGAAGGCCUUCGGGUUGUAAACCGCUUUUGUUCGGGAAGAAAUCCUCUGGGCUAAUACCCCGGGGGGAUGACGGUACCGGAAGAAUAAGCACCGGCUAACUACGUG
rnacentral:rRNA from 1 species